UACGUAGGGGCGAGCGUUGUCCGGAUUUAUUGGGCGUAAAGAGCUCGUAGGCGGCUUGGCAAGUCGGGUGUGAAACCUCCAGCUCAACCUGGAGACGCCACUCGAUACUGCCAUGGCUAGAGUCCGGUAGGGGACCACGGAAUUCCUGGUGUAGCGGUGAAAUGCGCAGAUAUCAGGAGGAACACCGGUGGCGAAGGCGGUGGUCUGGGCCGGCACUGACGCUGAGGAGCGAAAGCGUGGGUAGCAAACAGG
rnacentral:rRNA from 1 species